rnacentral:rRNA from 1 species
AAGUUGUUGCAGUUAAAAGCUCGAUAGUUGAACCUUGGGCUUGGUUGGCCGGUCCGCUUUAUGGCGAGUACUGGACCCAACCGAGCCUUUCCUUCUGGCUAACCUUUCGCCCUUGUGGUGUUUGGAGAACCAGGACUUUUACUUUGAAAAAAUUAGAGUGUUCAAAGCAGGCCUUUGCUCGAAUAUAUUAGCAUGGAAUAAUAGAAUAGGACGUUAUGGUUCUAUUUUGUUGGUUUCUAGGACCAUCGUAAUGAUUAAUAGGGACGGUCGGGGGCAUCAGUAUUCAGUUGUCAGAGGUGAAAUUCUUGGAUUUACUGAAGACUAACUACUGCGAAAGCAUUUGCCAAGGACGUUUUCAUUAAUCAAGAACGAAAGUUAGGGGAUCGAAGAUGAUCAGAUACCGUCGUAGUCUUAACCAUAAACUAUGCCGACUAGGGAUCGGGUGUUGUUCUUUUUUUGACGCACUCGGCACCUUACGAGAAAUCAAAGUCUUUGGGUUCUGGGGGGAGUAUGGUCGCAAGGCUGAAACUUAAAGGAAUUGACGGAAGGGCACCACCAGGAGUGGAGCCUGCGGCUUAAUUUGACUCAACACGGGGAAACUCACCAGGUCCAGACACAAUAAGGAUUGACAGAUUGAGAGCUCUUUCUUGAUUUUGUGGGUGGUGGUGCAUGGCCGUUCUUAGUUGGUGGAGUGAUUUGUCUGCUUAAUUGCGAUAACGAACGAGACCUUAACCUACUAAAUAGUGCUGCUAGCUUUUGCUGGUAUAGUCACUUCUUAGAGGGACUAUCGAUUUCAAGUCGAUGGAAGUUUGAGGCAAUAACAGGUCUGUGAUGCCCCUUAGACGUUCUGGGCCGCACGCGCGCUACACUGACGGAGCCAGCGAGUUCUAACCUUGGCCGAGAGGUCUGGGUAAUCUUGUGAAACUCCGUCGUGCUGGGGAUAGAGCAUUGUAAUNAUGGCUCUCC